GGGGUCGUGGCCUAGCAUGGUAUGGCACUGGCCUCGGGCGCCAGAGGUCGUGGGUUCAAAUCCCACCGACCCCA
rnacentral:tRNA from 1 species